AACGAACGCUGGCGGCAUGCCUAAUACAUGCAAGUCGAACGAAGUCUUCGGACUUAGUGGCGCACGGGUGCGUAACGCGUGGGAAUCUACCCUUGGGUUCGGAAUAACAGUUGGAAACGACUGCUAGUACCGGAUGAUGACGUAAGUCCAAAGAUUUAUCGCCCAAGGAUGAGCCCGCGUAGGAUUAGCUAGUUGGUGAGGUAAAGGCUCACCAAGGCUACGAUCCUUAGCUGGUCUGAGAGGAUGAUCAGCCACACUGGGACUGAGACACGGCCCAGACUCCUACGGGAGGCAGCAGUAGGGAAUAUUGGACAAUGGGCGAAAGCCUGAUCCAGCAAUGCCGCGUGAGCGAUGAAGGCCUUAGGGUUGUAAAGCUCUUUUACCCGGGAUGAUAAUGACAGUACCGGGAGAAUAAGCCCCGGCUAACUCCGUGCCAGCAGCCGCCGUAAAAC
rnacentral:rRNA from 1 species